CAGCCGCCGCGGUAAUACGUAGGUGGCAAGCGUUGUCCGGAAUUAUUGGGCGUAAAGGGCUCGCAGGCGGUUUCUUAAGUCUGAUGUGAAAGCCCCCGGCUCAACCGGGGAGGGUCAUUGGAAACUGGGAAACUUGAGUGCAGAAGAGGAGAGUGGAAUUCCACGUGUAGCGGUGAAAUGCGUAGAGAUGUGGAGGAACACCAGAGGCGAAGGCGACUCUCUGGUCUGUAACUGACGCUGAGGAGCGAAAGCGUGGGGAGCGAACAGGAUUAGAGACCCCAGUAGUCCCUGUCUCUUAUCA
rnacentral:rRNA from 1 species